UACGUAGGGUGCGAGCGUUAAUCGGAAUUACUGGGCGUAAAGCGUGCGCAGGCGGUUUGUUAAGACAGAAUGUGAAAUCCCCGGGCUUAACCUGGGAACUGCAUUUGUGACUGGCAAGCUAGAGUAUGGCAGAGGGGGGUAGAAUUCCACGUGUAGCAGUGAAAUGCGUAGAGAUGUGGAGGAAUACCGAUGGCGAAGGCAGCCCCCUGGGCCAAUACUGACGCUCAUGCACGAAAGCGUGGGGAGCAAACAGGAUUACGAAACCCGAG
rnacentral:rRNA from 1 species